rnacentral:rRNA from 1 species
UACGUAGGGGGCAAGCGUUGUCCGGAUUUAUUGGGCGUAAAGAGCGUGUAGGCGGCCAGAUAGGUCUGUUGUGAAAACUGGAGGCUUAACCUUCAGAGGUCGAUGGAAACCAUCUGGCUAGAGUCCGGAAGAGGAGAAUGGAAUUCCUGGUGUAGCGGUGGAAUGCGCAGAUAUCGGGAGGAACACCUAUGGCGAAGGCAGCUCGCUGGGACGUUACUGACGCUGAGACGCGAAAGCGUGGGGAGCAAACAGG